UGCUAAACCCGGAUGAGCCGAAAGGUAAAAGAUUUAUCGCCUAGAGAGGGGCUUGCGUCUGAUUAGCUAGUUGGUAAGGUAAAGGCUUACCAAGGCGACGAUCAGUAGCUGGUCUGAGAGGAUGAUCAGCCACACUGGGACUGAGACACGGCCCAGACUCCUACGGGAGGCAGCAGUGGGGAAUUUUCCGCAAUGGGCGAAAGCCUGACGGAGCAAGACCGCGUGGGGGAGGAAGGUUCUUGGAUUGUCAACCCCUUUUCUCAGGGAAGAACAAAAUGACGGUACCUGAGGAAAAAGCAUCGGCUAACUCCGUGCCAGCAGCCGCGGUAAUACGGGGGAUGCAAGCGUUAUCCGGAAUGAUUGGGCGUAAAGAGUCCGUAGGUAGCCAAUCAAGUCUGCUGUUAAAGAGCGAGGCUUAACUUCGUAAAGGCAGUGGAAACUGGAAGGCUAGAGUGUAGUAGGGGCAGAGGGAAUUCCUGGUGUAGCGGUGAAAUGCGUAGAGAUCAGGAAGAACACCGGUGGCGAAGGCGCUCUGCUGGGCUAUAACUGACACUGAGGGACGAAAGCUAGGGGAGCGAAAGGGAUUAGAUACCCCCUG
rnacentral:rRNA from 1 species